GAGGAACGCUGGCGGCGUGCUUAACACAUGCAAGUCGAACGGAAAGGCCCUGCUUUUGUGGGGUGCUCGAGUGGCGAACGGGUGAGUAACACGUGAGUAACCUGCCCUUGACUUUGGGAUAACUUCAGGAAACUGGGGCUAAUACCGGAUAGGAGCUCCUGCUGCAUGGUGGGGGUUGGAAAGUUUCGGCGGUUGGGGAUGGACUCGCGGCUUAUCAGCUUGUUGGUGGGGUAGUGGCUUACCAAGGCUUUGACGGGUAGCCGGCCUGAGAGGGUGACCGGCCACAUUGGGACUGAGAUACGGCCCAGACUCCUACGGGAGGCAGCAGUGGGGAAUAUUGCACAAUGGGCGGAAGCCUGAUGCAGCAACGCCGCGUGCGGGAUGACGGCCUUCGGGUUGUAAACCGCUUUCGCCUGUGACGAGGCGUGAGUGACGGUAAUGGGUAAAGAAGCACCGGCUAACUACGUG
rnacentral:rRNA from 1 species